rnacentral:rRNA from 1 species
UAGUCCACGCCGUAAACGAUGGAUACUAGCUGUCGGGGCCUUGUGUUUCGGCGGCCAAGCGAAAGUGAUAAGUAUCCCACCUGGGGAGUACGUUCGCAAGAAUGAAACUCAAAGGAAUUGACGGGGGCCCGCACAAGCGGUGGAGCAUGUGGUUUAAUUCGAUGAUACGCGAGGAACCUUACCAGGGCUUAAAUGGGAAUUGACAGGGGUAGAGAUACCCUUUCCUUCGGGCAAUUUUCAAGGUGCUGCAUGGUUGUCGUCAGCUCGUGCCGUGAGGUGUCAGGUUAAGUCCUAUAACGAGCGCAACCCCUACCGUUAGUUGCCAGCGAGUGAUGUCGGGGACUCUAACGGGACUGCCGGUGCAAACCGUGAGGAAGGUGGGGACGACGUCAAAUCAUCACGGCCCUUACGUCCUGGGCCACACACGUGCUACAAUGGCCGGUACAGCGGGAAGCCAUGUCGCAAGGCAGAGCGGAUCCACAAAACCGGUCACAGUUCGGAUCGGGGUCUGCAACUCGACCCCGUGAAG